GAAUAUAUCAGUAUCAUUUUUUGUUGUUGAAAACUUUGCAAAAGCAUUAUGGAAUUUUCAUUGAAGAUGAUUUUGAGGUUAGUAACAUUGCUCCUUGCAAUUGUGAGUACUUUAGGGGCAACUUUGGAAAAUACUCAUCAUGAUUCUAGUGAAGAUUUGCAAAGAUAUUCAACCCUAUAUCCUAGUUUUGCUGAAUAUCAAACACAAAAAUGGUGUUGCAGCAAAUUGGUCAUCUUUUGUUGUAAUAAAAAAACUGACGUAAAGUCUCGCAAACUUAUUACUAAUUAAAUACUCACCUACAUCAUCAAUCAUGUUAUAUAUAUAUAAUAUUAAAGAUAUGAAUAAAACUGAAGACUCAAUUUAAUUCUUUUUUUUUUUCUCUUUUCACUAUUCUAUUAUUUAGUAUUUUUGUGGAUUGUGUAAAUUGAAUUUUCGUGGAUACAUAUAAAAUUAUAAUGUUAAUAGUUUUUAAUUGCUUAGUUUGGAAUUAUGGGUUUUAUUUAUUCAUUUUAGUCUCGAUAAUUUUUUUGUUGGACUCAUGUAUAAACAAAGUUUAUUUAUAUUUUUUAUUGGUAAAUCUAAUAAGUCACUAAUCAAUCAGUUUUUUAUUUUAUGUUUUUCAAUUAUCCGUUUGUUUACUAUGCACCUUUUGAUUAUUGUAUAUAUAAUUGAGAUGUUUGGUUAAUCAUACGACGCUUUUAAAGUUCAUUUUUGUUUAAAGACAAGACUGGUUUGUAUUUUUUGUUGGAAAACAUUUUUUUUCAUACCACCUAAUUUAUAAUUAUACCCCACAUUUUAAUAAAAAUUUAAGUUUAAUCUUUUUCUGAAAAGAAAAAAGCUAAACUUUAUAUUUUGUGGUACAUGUAUGUGUAUCAUUACACAUUAAUAUUUUGAUUUUUUUUUUUUAAGUUUUCCGGUAUAUAAACUGAAGGUGAUCAAACACGAGAAGAAAAGUUGAAUUGUGUUUGUCUAAAUUUUAUUGUUUUUUGAAUUCUUAAACUAAUUCAAGUGCAGGUGACUUAAAUAUUUUAAAGGAUCAAAGGCAACAACAAAAUAAGUAAUGCAUAAGUAAAUAUAACACACUAAAUUUUAUACUGAUUCACCAUCAACUUGGUAGAUACGUCGAGUCCCUCAAAAACAAGAAUUUAUCCACUAAUUCAAUAAUUGAAUUAUAACAACACAUGACCUUACAAGUCAGUCUUCUCAAAACAACCUGAACCUACAAAGUUUUUUAGGCAAGUCACACUUUGAUCCUACAAGUCAAGUAUUCUCUACAAAUCUCAAAUCCAUAGAUUGUUAGAGGCAAACUAAAGCCAAUAUCAUCCAGAGUUAUAAUGAGUGGGAAACUGAUUUGAUGUUGCUUUCACUAAGUAGAUUUGAUACAAUGAUUUUUCACACUACAACACUUUGAAAUUUUUUCAUUGAAUGAGGGCAUUGCUAGAACAUAAAAUCCUUAAACUCUAAGUAAUAAGAAGGGUUUGACUUCGUAAAGUUUUUCUGAAUAACUUUGCUUUUUAGGAUUUCUAAGUUUGUUGGAGUCUUUGAUUGUUUCUUUGUUAAACUUUGAUUGCUAAUUAUAGGAAAAAUUAGGGUUUUAAUUUUGUCCUAUAAGGAUAUCGUAUCCCUUUUCAAGCUUAGUCAACAAUUAUUACUACCAGAAGAGCGUUAUCAGAGGAAGAUGCACGUGCUUUUCUUGAGCGUGCAUUUGUUGUAUUAUAAGAUUUCAUUGACUAAUUUGAUUUUGUUUCCUCUAUUAUUUUUACUUCAUUUGGUGACUUCCUCUAGUUACGUCCUUUGCUCGUUUCCUCAGAUUUUCUUGUUUUUAUUGUUGUAUACUUAAUGAAGUCUUAGUGCAAUAAAUUUUUCUCACUAAAUAUAAUUGUUAAUAUCAAAACCACACAUAAAAUCCGGCUAUGAGGCUCAAAUCCAAAACCGGAUCCAAAUUUAUUUUAAAUAUUCGGUUAAAAUAUUGUUAUAAUAUGGUUUAUUUACCAACCGAUUGGAUACCCACUUAUGUUUUAUGUUUGGAUUUUAUUUUUAUCCGGUUUUUAUUCACUUAACCCCCUAAAACUCUAAAUCCUAGAAACUCCAAAAUGAUUCAGAUUUUGCCAUUACCCUAGACCACCGAUCUCCACCUUCAGACGCCGUUUUCCGACAAUCUGACAUUGUCCUUCCUUUUCUAGAUCGUUUAGUUCUGGUUCGUUUUCAUUUUAAACAUUUUAGUUUAGUUUUGAUUUUCUUUUUGGUGUGUUGUUUCGUUGAAGUAGUAUUCUUUUAGUAUGUUGAUUUUUUUACUUUCAAACACCGGGCCUAUUUUGUGAAGGAGGAGGGAUUUUUAAAAAAAAAUUGUGACUAUAAUUUUGUCUGGUAUUUGAGAUUGAUUUUUAUUUGGUUUUUGCACUAUAACCUUGAAAAUCAAAAUGAAAAUUUGUAGAUAUUAUUAAUUGUAGGUUUUCUUUGAGUAUGAAAUGCAUUUCUUGAGCUUACUGAAUUGUGCUACAAAACUGUGAUGUGUGAGUAAUGUGUGUGAGAUAAAUGUUUUAGGUAGGUAACUUAGAAGAGGUUUGGAUGAAGAUCAAAUGAUUCAUUAUUGAGUGUUAGUUCGGAAUUUGAUUUUUCAUUGAACUCACAAGUCACAAAGUUAUUUGAAAUUCUUAGAAUUCAAGGAGCAUUAAUUAGAUGUUUAUAAGGUUAUUUGAACUCACAAUUCACUAUUGUACAAUUCACAGAGUUUGCUGCAGCUUCUGAAUUAUUCUGAUCAAUUUUAAUCACAAGUUAUUAUAAGUUAUUAUAAGUAAAUUAUUUUAAAUAAUCGAUUUUUAAACUUUGAAUAAAUGAUUUUUUAAAAAUAAAUAUUAACAAAUAAUUGAAUUUUAAUCAGUUUUGAGAAGAAAAAAAAUCAAUUUUAAAAUUGAAUUUUUUGAAACCGGUUGCUUAACUAGAAAACGGUUAUUUACCCAUAACCGAUUUUACAAUCGGUUUUAUAACCAGUUUUAAACCAAAUAACAGAUUUGAUUAUCAAUUUAAAUUCAUAUACUUAUUUUAAAAUGAAAAUGGUUUGAUUUUUUUAAAAAACUAAUCAUGCACAGCCUUUACUAGGUUCCAACAAAAAUGUGUUCUGAAAAACUUAAAAAAUUAAUUUUCGGUACACUAAGUUCAAAUUUUCUAAAACAUAUUUUUUUGCACCGAAAAAUUUAAAAGUUAUUUUAUGGUAUAAAAAAUUCAAUUUUCUAAAAUACAUUUGUGUGCCGAAUUUUAUUUUAUUAUGUUUUCCGGUACACAUUUUCAAAUUUUUUAAAAAACAUUUGCGUACCGAAAACUUUGAGAACAAAUUUCUAGUACAUAAAGAUCGAUUUGUUUAAAAAUAUGUGUACCAAAAAGUUUGAAAAAAAAAUGAUAUUUCUAAAAAAAAAAAUUCUAUAAAAUAUAGAAAUAAGAGAAUAAAUGUGGAGAUAUAGGAUAAGAUUUUCUUUUUGUUGAGCAUCUCCCGACUUUUUAAGAUUAUAAAGUUACAAUUAAAUUAUUUAUGCAAUCUAAAUAUGCUUUAAUUUUAUAUCCAGACAUUUUAGAGCUCCAUUUUUUCAAAACAAUCAAAUUUUAUAUUAAAAUAAUAAAAUUUUAAGCACAAGAUGUGUGAAGAAUAAUAAUAUUCAAUCUGGCGUAAAGGUUAAUUUUCAUAAAAGUAUGUUGACAAGUGUUAAUAUUAACAGUUCAUGGCUUCAAACUACGGUAGAGAUUCUUAAUUGUAAAAUGAGAUGUGUCUCAUUCAAAUAUUUGGGGUUGCCUAUUAACGAUAAUCUCCGACGUAAGGUGUUUUGGAAACUUGUUAUUGAGAAAAUCUGAAAUAGGUUGGCUGGUUGGAACUCUAGAAAUUUGUCGAUGGUGGCCAUUUAGUACUCCUCAAAUCUGUCUUAUUUGUAUUGUCGAUUUCUUUUCUUUUCUUUUUAAAGGCUCCUUCAGGUAUCAUUUAUCAACUCGAAUUUAUUUUUAAAUCAUUUAUUUGGGGUGGAAAUGAGGAAGAGAGUAAGGUUCAUUAGAUCAACUGGGAGAGGGUGUGUUUGCCUUUAGAGAAGGGUGGAUUAGGAGUUAGAGAUUUGAAAUUUUUUAAUAAAGCUCUAUUGGGUAAAUGGUGUUGGAGGUUAAGAACAGAGUCAGCUUUUGGGUUAAGGUGUUGAUCAAUAAAAAUGGAGUGGAAGUUGGGGAGUUUAGGGGGGCAAUUCGAGGGGGUCUGUGUGGUGGAAGGAUAUUUUUGCGAGAAGAGUUGGUAUUGAGGAGAAAUGGUUUGAUAAAAAGUUGUUUAAAAUUAUUGGGAACGGGAGUAAUACUUUGUUUUGGAAGGAUCUGUGGUUGGUUGGUGGGGUCUUGCAUGAGAAAUUUAGUAGGUUAUUUCAUUUGUCUUUGCAACAAGAGGAAAAUGUAGAGGUUAUGCUAGAGAUGUUGCGACCGGAGGGUAUUCAAGGGUGGAGAUGGCGGAGGCAAUUGAUUGUGUGGGAGGAGGAAUUAGUGGAGCAGUGUAGGAUUUUAUUGGCUAACGUUCAUUUACAAGUUAAUGUAUCUGAUUCGGUUAAUGAGACAUAUUCUAUACUACGGGAGGAGUUUGUCGCUAGUAUCAACGAACCUCCAUUUCAAGACCUAGUGUGGCAUCCUUUUGUCCAAGUAAAAGUAUCAUUAUUUGUGUGGAGGUUGUUUCAAGAUAGGUUGCCUACAAAGGAAAAUUUGUUCCGUCGAGGAAUAAUUUAUGUGGAAGAUCAACAAUGUGUAGCAGGUUGUGGGGAAAUUGAAACAAUCAAUCAUCUGUUCUUUGUGUGGCCUCUUUUUGGAUCUGUGUGGUAUGAUGUUUUGAAUUGGUUUGAACUAUUUGGUGUAUUUCAUAAGGAUGCAAUCAACCACGCUAACCAAUUUGAUGGUCUUUUUCUAUGUGGUCGUGUAACGCGUCAAAUAAUUAAUUUAGUUUGAUUUGCGGUGAGGUGAGCAAUUUGGAAAUCAAGAAAUGAGGCGAUUUGUCGUUCGCAUGUUUUGAAUGCAAAACUUAUUAUUGAGCAUGUCAAACUUUUAGAAUGGAGGUGAAUCAAAUUGCAUGUAUAAGAAUUUUGUUAUGGGUAUAAACAAUUGUGCUCUAAACUCUUUGAGUGAAUUGGUAUCAUUUGUUGUUAAUUGUUUACUUCUUGUUUGAGUAGUUUAAUUUGUAUUUUUACUUUAUUUUGGUUAUACAGUAGAAACAUUGGAAAAUUAAACCAACAUUUUCAAAGAUUUUAUUUAUUUACUUAUAUAUUUUAUUCUAGAUUAGUAUUAUAUUAUUUUCAACUCUUAUCAAAAAAAAGUUUGUAGAAUAAAUAAUGUAUUUAUUUUAUGUGUUAAUAUUCAAAAAAUAAGUUUUAUACUUGAACUUGUUAAAAUUGAUAUUUUAUAUUACAAGAUAAAUUAAUAGUAUUAAUAAAGGGUAUGUUAAAAAUAAUAAUAAUAAUAAUAAUAAUAAUAAUAAAUGCAUAUAAUAAUUGAAAAAAUGUUUAUAUUUAAGGACAAUUUUUUUAUACUUAUAAUUAAGGAUAAAAUAAGAAAAUUUGAAAACUCAACUUUAAAACAUUCUCUUUGACUGAAGCCUAACGCCAUCAACAUCACCCAUAUAAUUUUUAUGAUUUAAAUUAUAUUUUAUACCUACUUAAUUAAAUCAAUUAAAUUUAUAUAUACCAUUAAAGACUAAACUUAAAAAUUUGAGUUUGUCUUACUUUAAAUUCAAAACAAACUUUUGACUUACUUUUGAGGAAAAAGAAAAUUGUAUAACUAUAUAUAGAGAGAGAAUGAGAGAGAUACAAUUGGAAUAUAUCAGUAUCAUUUUUUGUUGUUAUAAACUUUGCAAAAGCAUUAUGGAAUUUUCAUUGAAGAUGAUUUUGAGGUUAAUAACAUUGCUCCUUGCAAUUGUGAGUACUUUAGGGGAAACUUUGGAAAAUACUCAUCAUGAUUCUAGUGAAGAUUUGCAAAGAUAUUCAACCCUAUAUCCUAGUUUUGCUGAAUAUCAAACACAAAAAUGGUGUUGCAGCAAAUUGAUCAUCUUUUGUUGUAAUAAAAAAACUGACGUAAAGUCUCGCAAAAUUAUUACUAAUUAAAUACUCACCUACAUCAUCAAUCAUGUUAUAUAUAUAUAUAAUAUUAAAGAUAUGAAUAAAACUGAAGAGUCAAUUUAA
rnacentral:lncRNA from 1 species